rnacentral:snRNA from 1 species
CUGCUUACUUCAGCAGCACACAUUCUAAAAUUGGAAUGAUACAGAGAAGAUUAACAGGGCCCUUGUGCAAGGAUGACAUGCAGAUUUAUGAAGUGUUCCAUAUUUUU